rnacentral:rRNA from 1 species
UACGUAGGGUGCAAGCGUUAAUCGGAAUUACUGGGCGUAAAGCGCGUGUAGGCGGCUAAGUAAGUCGGGCGUGAAAUCCCACGGCUCAACCGUGGAAGUGCACUCGAAACUGCAUAGCUAGAGUCCUGGAGAGGAAGGUGGAAUGCUUGGUGUAGAGGUGAAAUUCGUAGAUAUCAAGCGGAACACCGGUGGCGAAGGCGGCCUUCUGGACAGUGACUGACGCUGAGGAGCGAAAGUGUGGGGAGCGAACAGG